UACCAGCUCUUCGAGUGGUGUGGAUGUUUAUUGGGCCUAAAGCAUCCGUAGCCGGCUUGGCGAGUCUCCUGUUAAAUUCAGCGACCUAAUCGUUGACCCGCGGGAGAUACUACUAGGCUAGGAGGCGGGAGAGGCCGACGGUACUUCCGGGGUAGGGGUGAAAUCCUAUAAUCCCGGGAGGACCACCAGUGGCGAAGGCUGUCGGCUAGAACGCGCUCGACGGUGAGGGACGAAAGCUGGGGUAGCGAACCGGAUUAGAUACCCGGGUAGUCCCAGCUGUAAACUAUGCGGGCUAGGUGUCGGGGUGGCUACGAGCCACUUCAGUGCCGCAGGUAAGCCAUUAAGCCCGCCGCCUGGGGAGUACGGCCGCAAGGCUGAAACUUAAGGAAUUGGCGGGGGAGCACCACAAGGCGUGAAGCUUGCGGUUC
rnacentral:rRNA from 1 species